rnacentral:hammerhead_ribozyme from 1 species
AUCCUGCUGACGAGUCCCAAAUAGGACGAAACAUGAGUCCUGGAU